UACGUAGGGGGCAAGCGUUGUCCGGAAUCAUUGGGCGUAAAGAGCGUGUAGGCGGUCCGGUAAGUCCGCUGUGAAAGUCCAGGGCUCAACCCUGGAAUGCCGGUGGAUACUGCCGGGCUAGAGUCCGGAAGAGGCGAGUGGAAUUCCUGGUGUAGCGGUGAAAUGCGCAGAUAUCAGGAGGAACACCAGUGGCGAAGGCGGUGCUCUGGGCCGGAACUGACGCUGAGGAGCGAAAGCGUGGGGAGCAAACAGG
rnacentral:rRNA from 1 species